rnacentral:rRNA from 1 species
UACGAAGGGGGCUAGCGUUGCUCGGAAUCACUGGGCGUAAAGGGUGCGUAGGCGGGGUCUUUAAGUCAGGGGUGAAAUCCCGGGGCUCAACCCCGGAACUGCCUUUGAUACUGGGUAUCUCGAGUCCGAGAGAGGUGAGUGGAAUUCCGAGUGUAGAGGUGAAAUUCGUAGAUAUUCGGAGGAACACCAGUGGCGAAGGCGGCUCACUGGCUCGGUACUGACGCUGAGGUGCGAAAGCGUGGGGAGCAAACAGGG